rnacentral:lncRNA from 1 species
UCUUGAUUUAAGAAGAAAUACUUCUUGGCGGCAAAUUUAAGAUUAUUUUUUUCCAGUGCAGAUGUCUGAAAUUUGAUGAAUUUCGUGUUUGAAUGGACCCUACCAAGUGAGCUGAACACGACCAUGACCUUGGUUCAUAGAUUGAACAAUUAUUGGAGAAGAUAUGACAAAAUAAUCUAAUCUGCAAAAAUACAUGCGUUUAAAUGGGAAAUGCCGCCAGAUGACGUCACGAGGCGGCGCAUUUUCUCACUUUUAAAUCUAUUUUUAUACUAUUUCCCAUAUCAGAAAAAAAUGAUAAAAAAUACUUCAAAAUUAGCUCUUUAGGCACUUUUAGAUGAAGCAAUAAAAUAUUUGCGUGCAAAUUCUCCAUAGUUAGGGAAGUGUUUCGGGACAGAGAAAGAACGAUAAAAGAGAGUAUAGAACCCUACCUGCUCCAUAUUCUUCGUAUUCUGUGAAUUCAUCAGACACGAAUUCUCUUUUGAGCUGCACAUCGGGCAACCGUUCAAAGCCCCGUCCAUUGUUUUUCGCCCUACAAGGCGAUCUCAGCCAAGAUUCAGUCGAUUCAUAUGGAGCGCCACAAACUUUUCAGCCUCUGAAAAUCCCAAAAACUGUUACCCAAAAGUCGGACGUCGAAUCCCUGAAGCUCUCGAUUUCAGACAUCUGCCGGUUGGCGCUUGAGUACAUCCAAAUCGGGGUUCUGUUACCUCAUCCCCCUGGUCUCUCAUUCGAUCGUCUCCUCACCUCCCUCAAGAAAUCCCUUUCCACUACCCUCACGCACUUCUCUCCCCUGGCCGGUCGCUUGGCAACGACCCCCGAUGGUCAAAUCCACAUCGCUUGCAACGAUGCAGGGGUUGAAUUCCUGGCGAUGGACGACACUGGUCUCUCUGUGGACGAUGUUUUGUGUCCGGGCGAUGUCCCAGACUGCGUCAAAGGCUUCUUCACUUUCGACGAAUUCGUCAACUACGAGGGGCAUUCGAAACCAUUGGCUGCGGUUCAGGUAAAGUGUGAAUUUUUGUAUACUUUGCAAUAAUGGCUGCUACUUUUGGGGACCCGUUCGGGCUGACAUCAGCCUGGAUCAGUCUGACUCAGGGUAGUUUAUGAAAC